UACGGAGGGUGCGAGCGUUGUUCGGAAUCACUGGGCGUAAAGCGCGUGUAGGCGGCCCAUUAAGUCUGAUGUGAAAGCCCGGGGCUCACCCCCGGAAGUGCAUUGGAAACUAAUGGACUCGAGUCCCGGAGAGGAGAGUGGAAUUCCUGGUGUAGCGGUGAAAUGCGUAGAUAUCAGGAGGAACACCGGUGGCGAAGGCGGCUCUCUGGACGGUGACUGACGCUGAGACGCGAAAGCAUGGGGAGCAAACAGG
rnacentral:rRNA from 1 species